CUAUAGCAAGAAUCAUCAGGCUGGAAUGAUGAUAGGAUCCAAGAAUUGAUUAACCACAAGCACGAGGUUUAACACUUGGGGAAAUGUCAUCAACACUAUGGAAAAGAAAAUGAAUCAUCUAUGUGCUUAGGCAAAGUUUCCAAAAAGAAUCUAAAGUGAAGAACAGAUGGUGAAAUGACAAGCCAAAGAUAUCUGACAUUUCUCCAACAUCUCCAAGACAGCGGCUUUUGUAAUCUUCCAGGUACUGGACCCGAAAUCAGAAAGAUUCCUAAAGCUGCAAGAGCAUCUGGCACCUCUGAUUCCCACAUGGAGAGGUUGAAUAGCCCCAAAAUGUGCCACUGUCUUUCAGAGAAGACACGGACACAAGGAAUCCUAUAGCCAGACCAGGUUUGUUCUUCCAUGAGAGCAGGAACACACCUUUCUAUGGAGGGCACCUGACUCAGUGCUCAUCACAGAGUAUGUACCCAGCAAAUAUGUAUGAAAGAACAAAUGAACUCAGGAGAGAAAGAACUUCUAAUGCAAGCAGAAUAUCUUUGGUUACCAAUGACUAAGAACUGUGCAAUAGAAAAUACUAGCCCUGAAGUUAAGAAGAUGGCCCACUCAAAAGAUCUGAUCACACCAAACACCCAAAAGAGGAUGCAGGUUGGUUGAGCAAAGAUUUAGGGUUGGUACGAAUUUUCUAGUUCUAUCAGAACCUAUCUCUAACUUUUAGCGUUUGUUCUAGUACAACACAUUGAAUACUACCCUCUUUAUGGAGAAUGGGCUCAGCAAGUUUUAACAAAUCCUUUUGUCAUUUUCAAAAAUACCUGAUUUCAAACACAUCCUUAGUGUUAUGAUAAAAUGUCUUAUAAUGAGAAAGACCUCAUCUAAUUAUCAUAGUUAAGAUUCCUAUAUGUGGGAAAACCACAAAAGCAUCCGUUUAAAGAAAGGUAUGUGAGUAUACUGGCUGUUACAGUUAUUCUCAUUCAAAACCAUCCUCAGGGGUUUCUAAGUCUUGACAGGACAGUUUUGUUUUCCAAGUAGACGGUGCUUAGAAAAACUAUGCAUGAGGUAAAAUUGUAUGGAACUAUUUACCCCCAAAAUGCACUACUGAUAUAACUAUUCUUGCAUUGUUUUUGAACUAUUUUCCCUAUUUUUGAGCUAUUUUCACAACUUCUUAUGCAUCCAAAAUUUUUUCCAAAUAAAAACUUUUUAGAAAUACACCUUUGUGGUGAAACAAUUAUCCUAUGUGUACAGAUUAGGUAACUAGAGAAGUUAUCCGGUUUCCUCAAGGUCAUCAUGCUGGAACAGGGCAGAAGAGGGGCUGAAAUCCAGACCUGCUCACUGUCUCCCAAGAUCAUGCUUUUCCCAUUUUAGCACACAACUUCCUUAAAUCAGCUGAGUGUCCUCUAAGUAUUUAAUCAAAUACUCAUUGGACGCUUUCAAAAGCUUUAACCUUUUUCAUGUUUUCUGUCAAAUGGAAUAUGUCCCUUUACCAAUACCAAUACCACACACACACAUACACACACAUUCUCUCUAAUACACAUGUGUACACACACAUAUAUACACUCCCAAACACGUGUGCACAUACACGUGUUGGCACACACACACCUACUUUCAUCUCCACCUUCACUGCCACCACUUCAUGUAACCAGUGUCUAUGAAUGACUUAAAAGGAGAGAUCUAGAACCAGAGGAAGUCAAAGUUGGCAAUAAGAACUCUUUGGUGUGAUUUUGGUUGAACAACCACACUCGCAGCUAUGGUCGUGGCAAGAUUUACAUAUUUGGAACUGAAAUUGG
rnacentral:lncRNA from 10 species